AUUCUAAUCCCUACCAACUAGUGGAUGGACAAACUCAAGCCAAUCGAUUGAUCCUCCUCUUUGGCCGAUGCCUCCCAUUUAAUAGUAGAAACUCUUGUUGGUCCUUUGACUUUAGCAUUCAAGGAGGGAUCGGGCACUGGAAAGCAGACAACCAUCCCACGAACAAGCCCAAGGAUUAAUAAAGAUUUUUGUCUAAAUAUGUCAAGUCAGAAUACAUCACUACCAUCUCAGUCGCCACCCACAUGCCUAUUGAGCCCAUGUUAUGUCGUCCCCUUUAUCGGUUGCACGUCAGAUGAAAGACGAUUUUCCAAUUGAUAUAAUAUGUACGGCUUAUCAUCAUUAAUCUCCCUAUGAAUGGAGGUAAGAAAGAGACCUCCAGGUACACCCCACUUGUACUCAAUACACCUUAUGCUCUUUUGCAACUCCUUCUCUAUUGUGCUAGAUUCCUGACGUGACCGUCGGAGAGUCCUUGCUGGAGACAACUUCAGUCGGAACUUGUUUUGUAGGAACAUUGCUCCGAUGGUCCCUGGCUUAUUCCAGCCCUGUCUGUACA
rnacentral:lncRNA from 1 species